rnacentral:rRNA from 1 species
GACGUAGGUGGCGAACGUUAUCCGGAAUCAUUGGGCGUAAAGGGUGCGUAGAUGGCAUGAUAGGUUAUUAGUGGGAAAUCGAGGCUCAACCUCGUGGAAGCUGGUAAUACUGUUUUGCUUGAGUGCAGGAGAGGUUAACGGAACUCCAUGUGGAGCGGUAAAAUGCGUAGAUAUAUGGAAGAACAUCAAUAACGGCGAAGGCAGUUAACUAUUCUGCUACUGACAUUGAGGCACGAAAGCGUGGGGAGCAAAACGG